rnacentral:misc_RNA from 1 species
AACGCAUAUUGCGCCCGAGACUUCGGUCAAGGGCAUGUCUGCCUCAGCGUCGGUUUAACCCUUGCUACCCACACCUAUCCUGUGUGGAGUGCUUGCCCUAACCCGGCUAGCCGGUAGCAGACCUGGCUUUCCCAGAGUGUGCUUGGUCAUGCGCUGGGUUGGCUGAAGUGCAGAGGCUAGAGCUCGGACCCAAUAUGGGCUCAACUGGAUAGGUAGCACCGGUUUUCCGAGGUUUCCCCAGGUUAACCGACUACACGAAGUUGAUGCUUGUGGUGCUUGCUUCCAGCCAGCAGGAAUCGUGAGAAAUCACGAAUUAAACAUUCGACCUGAGCUCAGGCAAGGCUACCCGCUGAACUUAA